rnacentral:lncRNA from 1 species
UACAUGUUACUACACGUGACUAUACAUGACUAUAUGUAUAUGACCACACGUGACUAUAUAUGACUGUAUGUAUAUGACCACAUGUGACUAUAAAUGACUACAUGUAUACGACCAUAUCUGACUAUAUAUGACUACAUGUAUAUAUGACCACAUGUUACUAUAUGAGUAUAGUCAUAUGUAGUGUAGUUUGUAUUUUUAGCUUCAAAUACCACUUUUCAACACGACAACAACUCCGA